rnacentral:rRNA from 1 species
CUAAGGCGAGGCCGACAGGCGUAGUCGAUGGAUAACCAGUUGAUAUUCUGGUACCGGCUUGUCACCGUCCGUGUCGAGGUGUGUGAUGCUAAGCAUGUGAGCUUGUCUUGGGAGUGUUUUUGAUGCUUCUGGGGUGGGUGAGUGUGUGAACCGAUCAUGUAGUAGGCAAGCUGCGGAGGGACGCAGUGAGGUAGCUCAUCCCCGGUGAUGGUUGUCCGGGGCUAAGUGUGUGGACUGUCUGGUAGGUAAAUCCGCUGGGCGUGAAGGUUGAGGCAUGAUGGGGAGCCCAUGGUUGUGGGUGAGUGAGUGAUCCUGUACUGUCGAGAAAAGCUUCGUGAGCGAGGUGGCGGGUCCGCCCGUACCCUAAACCGACACUGGUGGAUAGGUAGAGUAUACCGAGGCGAUCGAGUGAAUCGUGGUGAAGGAACUCGGCAAAAUGCCCCCGUAACUUUGGGAUAAGGGGGACCUGAGCUGUCGUGCACCCGUGCGGUGUGGUGGCGGUGAGGGGCGCAGAGUCCAGGGGGAAACGACUGUUUACCAAAAACACAGGUCCGUGCGAAGUCGUAAGACGAUGUAUACGGACUGACUCCUGCCCGGUGCUGGAAGGUUAAGGGGAACUGUGAGUGUAUGCGUAGCGGUGAACUUAAGCCCCAGUAAACGGCGGUGGUAACUAUAACCAUCCUAAGGUAGCGAAAUUCCUUGUCGGGUAAGUUCCGACCUGCACGAAUGGAGUAACGAUUUCCCUACUGUCUCCACCAUGAACUCGGUGAAAUUGCAUUACGAGUAAAGAUGCUCGUUACGCGCAGCAGGACGGAAAGACCCCGGGACCUUUACUAUAGUUUGGUAUUGGUGAUUGGGACGGUUUGUGUAGGAUAGGUGGGAGACGUUGAUGCGGCCACGCUAGUGGUGGUGGAGUCGUUGGUGAAAUACCACUCUGAUUGUUCUGGUUAUCUCACUGUGGACCGUGAUCCGGUUCAAGGACAGUGCCUGAUGGGUAGUUUGACUGGGGCGGUCGCCUCCUAAAGGGUAACGGAGGCGCCCAAAGGUUCCCUCAGCCUGGUUGGUAAUCAGGUGGUGAGUGUAAGUGCACAAGGGGGCUUGACUGUGAGACUGACAGGUCGAGCAGGGACGAAAGUCGGGACUAGUGAUCUGACGGUGGCUUGUGGAUGCGCCGUCACUCAACGGAUAAAAGGUACCCCGGGGAUAACAGGCUGAUCUUGCCCGAGCGCUCAUAGCGACGGCAUGGUUUGGCACCUCGAUGUCGGCUCGUCGCAUCCUGGGGCUGGAGUCGGUCCCAAGGGUUGGGCUGUUCGCCCAUUAAAGCGGCACGCGAGCUGGGUUCAGAACGUCGUGAGACAGUUCGGUC